AGGGAGCAGGGUGCUGCAGCACCGAAGUGCGAGGCGCAGGGUGUCACACUUAGGGGCUUAUCGCCAGGGAGCACACACACAGUUGUCUUUCAACAAAAUCCCAGUUUAUCUUCGCUCUAGGAGUGCCAUCCCUGGGCAGCAGCCAGGAGCACCCCGGGGAGGUAUCAAGAGGCAGGUUUUCUUGAGUAACCGCACCGCUUUUUGUAGAUUUGCGUCUAAAUCUGCCAGAGCUUUUGUUUGCCUCUUCUUGAGGGCCUUUCCUUUCAGGUGAGCUGGGGAGGAGGCAAAAUCUUCAAAGUUAUUGGAAGCUCUACCCCAUCUUGCCUGGAUCUCGUGACUUAAAUUGAUGCAGGAUGACAGUUGAACUAAGCAAGCUGAUGAACUACAGGCCUCCUUGUCUGUUUCCUGUGCUUUCCAGGUGUUUUGACUGCUUUUCCAGUCAGUACUCGUGGUUGUGUCAUACCCAGUUUGUCCUUAAGCAGUCAUUUAAUGCUUUAAAAAAGUACAACUAGAUUUUGCUUUGUUCUUUUAAACACAAAAUUUAGUGUUACUGUAGCACUGUGAAUGCAGCCUCACAGAAAGCUGGAUAAGGGAACCAAUCUCCCUGGAAAAAUAGCUCCCCAGCUCCAAUAGCUAUGCUAGGAGAAACAGGGGUGACAAGAAUUAGCAAAAAAAGAGGGCUGUACUAAUAAUCUGUCAUUCAAUAUGCAAGCGUUCUCAAAGAGAGAACUUAUACUGCAAUUACUUUUUUUUUUUUUUAAUAUCUAGCCUGCAUUUUACAGAGUUUCAUCUGACAUUGAACUCAAACAUCUAUAGAAUCAGGACUGCAUAUCAGUGGACAUUAAGAAGUGCCUAGGUAGAACCAGAUCUGUUUCCAGACAGCAUGCUUUCAGCUAGGAGGUAGCUGCAGCUCUUUCAAAAUACAGUGCUCCUGGCAGACCGUUUGUCAGCUGGACUAAAAAGCUGAGGAACAAACACUCCAGCUACAGAAACUAGACAACCCUGAGUGCUAACUGAUCUGCCCCUCUUUGUUGCUGUCUCAGAACAGGCAAGUAACUACUUUGUCUGGAAAAGGAAAUGCUGCAUCUUUACUUUUCGUUUUUCCCCCCUCUCCUCCUCUUCUGUUGCAGCACCGGCUGCUUCAGCAGGCAGAACUUUCCAGUGUGUCGGUUAGCAAAACCGACAAAUCAUAAGUAGUGACAGAGUACCACAGAUGCUUCCUACUGCUACCAUUUAGAUUUUCUCUUGACUACCUACUUGCAUGGCUGAUGCAUACAGAAAGAUGAAGGGGAAUACUAGUAGCUUAUAAUUAAAUACUGUUCUGUUUGCAUUCCUGCAUCAAGCAUAAAAGCUUCCACCUUAAAUGAGACAUCUAGACACUAGUCUGAUUCAAAGAGAGAGUGGUGUAAUGGUAUCUUGACAAAUGCUGCUUAUGAAAUUAUAAAUCUAACCCACAGGCCCUAUUCCACUGAUGAGGCAUAUAAGUCUCAUGAGUUAUUUCGGGGGUAGAAAGUCUGAACUAUAAAUAUCCCCUUCUACUCAUCUUUUUUUUUAAAAAAAAAAAACCUCCCUUUCCUCUCCUGCAGGAAGGCUGUAUAAAUACCUAGUUUGAUGCGUCAGGUUGCUUUAAGACUUCUUGCAGGGGUACUAAUAAAGUAAGACUUUUUUGGUGAUCUCAGCAUAAUGAAUGCUUUUGUUUUAGAGAGAAGACUUGAAUAACUGAACAAUCCCUGUACUCUGCAGGGGAGAAGAAUAGAAGGUAGCAUUUGCAUAUCACACAGAAUGGAACAGAGGAAAAUGUCGCUUGUUAAAACAUGUUUGAGAGAAUUGGUCAGGUUCCCUGUAGCAUUCUGUCGUAUUACAAAAAAAGCACCAUUACUUGUGUUUUUAUUAACCACUUUGAACACUUCUAAUCACAAGGCAUAUGGACACAGUAUACCCCAAAUCUCCACCACAAUACAGUUAGGCUUCUGUAGGGUGUUUUUCCAUGGAAGUUGGUUUGCAGGUGUUAUGGAGGCUGGUCAUAUCUGUGGGGAGGGUAAAUAGGGCCUGUCAGUAGCAGACCAGAUAUGUAGCACAUCAGUGUCAUUACAACCGCUGAGCAAUAAAGAGAAAACAGAAGUCAAAUGGCCUUCCCUUUUGAAGUUAGAAAGGUUAUCUUGACAUAGCAGCUUUUGCAGAUGAAGUAGCAGGAAUUGCACACACAUGGUGUUUACUUAGACUGUGUAGUAUUCCAGUCUUGUUACAGUCCCUUCAACCUAUCAUCACUUAUGUGAAAUCAUACUGUGACCCACGUUGGUUGUCAAAUUUCAGCAUUCAAAUUCACAGCAUAGGUUCUCCUGUAAACCAAAAUAAGAUAGAAAGGUACCUAAAUGCUCAAGCAAAAGUAUGAACUGAAAGAGGGACACAGUUCAUAACCCUCCUGUUAGUGGCCAGAGCUGGAGGAACUUAUGUUACUAGCUACACCUUUUCCAACCUGAAUAUGCAUUCUUCUUGUUCCUCUCAAGCCUACCCUGUUAUAUAGAAGGAUAUGCGAUCAGCUCGCUGCUUUGCUUCCCUUGGAAGUUUCUGCAGCCUCCUCACUGCUCAUAAUUUUCUUCACCCUCGCCCCUCCCACUUCCUCCACCUUUAUGUUACUGGGGUAUUAACCACAGAGGGAGCAGCUCAUACAGCUGAUAACAUGAAAAACAUUUUUUGCAGCAGCAGUACUAGCUUCAGCAGCAGAAGUUUAACCAAAAGACAUUCUGGUGCGGUUCACCACGCUGUCACAGAAAGUUGAAAUAGCCCAGCUGACAGGAUGCUGCAGGAAGACAUGAACAGAGCAGAGGAGGUAACCCAAGCCAGCAUCAUGGAUUAUGAUCAUCAUCACUGCAGUGUGAAAGGAUCGAUUGCAACUUGAUCAGCAUCCCUCAGAAAUGGUAGAGAGCAGUUUGCUCAGAACAAGUAGAAUUUCCAGAGAAUGGUGCUGGGCAAUGAACAAGGCUGGUUGUACAGGUAUUUAGCAGGUUGCAAUUUGUCCACACUUUCCAAUGGAACAGCAAGAGAUCCUCAACACCCAGACAUCCUCCUCAAUGAGUUUCUAAGCUAGUUUAAAAACUUGGAGAUGUUAGAAUAGCAACAGCAGCAAGCAUUAACAUGGAAAAUAACACAUCUGCCUCCAGCUUCAUUCUUGUAAGUGGCUAAACCAUUUUAUUUCAUAUCAUUACUCUUCUGCCUCAGAAGCAAACAUCUUGAGCUGUGUAAUUUUAAUAGGGCAGUCAAUAGUUGAAGGCAUUUCUCAAUGAAAAAUCAGAUCAUCGAGGAAAUUUAAGUUAUAGUACAAGUAUCAGGCUUUGUAUUACUGAAGUGGCUAACAUUACUCUGUCCCAGGUGCAGCACCCAGCACUUACCUUUGUUGAACUUUAUGCCACUGAUGAUUGCCCAGUGUGCCAGUCUAUCUAGAUCCCUAUGCAAGGCCUUUUAUGCCUCCAGAGAAUCAGCAGCCCCUCCCAGUUUAGUAUUGCCAGCAAACGUGCUAAGGAUACAUUCCACUCCUGCAGCCAGAUCAUUGAUAAAAAUGUUGAACAGAAUUGACUCUAAUGUUUCAAACUGGUUUAUGAUAGCAUACACAACUGUUUCAGUGGCUUGGUCUUUUGACAACAGUUAACCAGGAUCAAGCAUGGCUCUGGAAAACCCACACUGAGAGAUCUAAUGGCUGUGCUGAUUGUCUUUGGGGACAGUAAUAAAGAAAGCUGGUAUGAAGUAGUAUUCUCAGGUGGUAUUUUAUCAGCUCAUGAUCCUCAUCCAAUGAUUAGAAGUCUGCAGCACUUCUUCAUUCAAGCAGAGAAAAUGUUGAUCUUAGCGAUUAGUAGCAAGCUGACAAUCCAGUUGAUAUUCAGACUUGCACUGUCUAGUCGUUUCAUAGAGUGGAAUCAAUGAAGUUUAAAGCUGUAGUAAAUGUAUUCAGGUACUGACAUGCCUGCAGAAUGCUUGGCAACCGCUCCUAAGCUCAAAAUAGUAAUUCAGAAUACUUUUAACCUUUCGUUAUAGCAUUUAGUUCAUCUUUUACUGAAACACUAAUACCUUUGAAAUGCAUAGCAAUAUACUGGCCCUACAGAAGAAAAUUUAAGUGAUUUCUGCACCAUUGGAGAGCCAGAACACAGUAUAUUCAGAUUUGGUGUUAUAGGCAGUCCUCCCACAUCUUCUAAACAUAUUCAUUUUAAAUCUUUUUUGGUUUCAGAAGCCUUUUCUUUUGUUAUAAAUAACACAUUGCUAUAGCAACUGUUUUGCAGAAACUCAUCUAUUUUUUCAAUAGCUAGAAUGUCAAAUUUCUAUUUGAAUCAUCUCACAACGUUUGGUCAGUCAGCUAGUUUUACUAUAUGUCUUAUACUUGAAAUAUUUGACAGCAGUUUUACCUGUUCAUUCUUUAAGACCAGAACAGCAACUUUGUAACAUCAGGCAUCCUACAUUAGCAUAAGAUUACCUUCAGACUGCAUUCAUUUAAAAUUUUGCAUGUAAAGAGAUGCACAAAGCUGAUAAAACACUGUAUUCUGCAAUGGUGACAAUGUAUUUUUGUAAGCUGAAGCAAGAGGGAGUAUUUAUAUUCGGUCACGAAACUGAUACUGCAUUCUAUUUCACUUAGUUUCAUAAAAGCCUGUAAGAGAACCACCCUAUGAACUAAGGUAAGGAUGAGAGUCAGCUUCUCAAUUCCAUUUAAAUUACAGACUUCUAUUACUGAAAGUGUAUUUUUCAGUGCUCUCAAUUCUUUCUUGAUGUUAAACAAUAAUAUAGAUUUCAUUAACUUUAUGCAACUGCAAAAGAACCUUCUUUUUCAGAAACCAACAUCUGAAACCAGAAAAGUAACACAGCAUCUUUGAGAAAAAGGAGCAACUUCUUGCGAGUAUUCUGAGUAGACAGCAGUGAAACUACACAAAUCAGCAAAUAAGUCAGCUCUUUGUUUUCCUUACAAGUAGCUACAGUUUUUAUUCUUGAAAGAUUUACACUUGAAAGAUUUGAAAGAGCCAAAUAACUGAGUGACAAAUUAUCUUCUUCCUUGAGGAACAGCUGCUUUCCACACAACUGCACAGUAUAGCUUUCUGGACAUCUCACUUUCGAAUCUGUGGGCUUUCCUACAUAUCACAGACUCGUACCUCAAAGUAUACCUAAGCAUGUCUUGUUUGUAUUUUGAAAAAAAAAAAAAAAAGGCAUAAGAGAAGUUUAACAGAUACCCACUGAAGACUAUUUAAAAGUUGGAUCAUAGGACAAUUCAGAGUGGAAAAAACCUCAGGAAGUCAUCUAAUACAAACCCCUGCUCAGAACAGUAGAACUUC